UUUCAAAACAAUACUAGAGUUUUAGAAUUUAACAUUCCUAAUUAAACUUUUAAUCAACUUUUAAAUUCCAAAACUUGAGGGCAAGUUUUGAAACAUUUCAAAACAUUUAGGUUUAGAAUUUAAAUAUACAUCAAAAUUAAACUUUUAAUCAAAAUUUAAAUUCCAAAACUUGAGGGCAAGUUUUGAAACCUUUUCAAAACAUUAGGGUUUCAACUAUUUAAAUUUCAAAACUAAACUUUUGAGUUCAAAUUUAAACUAUAAAACCUAAAGGGGAAAAUUGAAACUUUUCAUAACACAAGGAUCAAAUAACAAAUAAUCCAAUCUUUAUCAUAUAAGGAAGUUAUUAUCUAAUCAAUUGGUAAUUAUCUUGUGUUUUGACAAGGAUAUUCAUUAAGAAACAAUAAAAUUCGUAUUUUAUAGGUUUAAAACGAAUAUGGUAAUAAUCCCUAAGAAAAACAACAACAAAAUCCGAAGUUUCCUCUGUCUGACACUCCGACUCGCCGAGACACACUUUGGAACUCGCCGAAUAGGGCUGACUCGCCGAGUCCAGGUAGUGACUCGCNAAACCAAAACUUUUAUGGAUUUAUUAAGCCUCUUUUAAUUAUACACCUUAAUUAAUAAAUAAAACCAUAAGUGUGUGAUAUGAACUUUUCAAGACACUACUAGGGUUUUAGAAUUUAACAUUCCUAGAUUAAACUUUUAAUCAACUUUUAAAUCCCAAAACUUGAGGGCAAGUUUUGAAACAUUUCAAAAACAUUUAGGUUUAGAAUUUAAAUAUACAUCAAAAUUAAACUUUUAAUCAAAAUUUAAAUUCCAAAACUUGAGGGCAAGUUUUGAAACCUUUUUCAAAACAUUAGGGUUUCAACUAUUUAAAUUUCAAAACUAAACUUUUUAGUUUAAAUUUAAACUAUAAAAC
rnacentral:lncRNA from 1 species